GGGCCCGUAGCUCAAUUGGACAGAGCGGCGACCUUCUAAGUCGUCCGGUUGAGGGUUCGAGUCCCUCCGGGCCCGCCA
rnacentral:tRNA from 1 species